GGGGAUUUAGCUCAGCGGCAUAAAGUGCCUGCCUUGCAAGCAGGCAGUCUGUGAGUUCGAUCCCCA
rnacentral:tRNA from 1 species